rnacentral:lncRNA from 1 species
CUAGACAAGGAGGGCUCUGCAAACAUAUGGCGUGGCCUGGGGCUGUCAGACAGUAGUGUCGCUGCAGGACACGGAGGAGACUGGCAGCGAGGCAGCAGGGUCGGCAGGAGCCCAUAAAGGUUCUGAUGACGCAUUCCUCAGGCCCAAUCCGUAGAGCAGGAGGAAUCUAACUGGUGUCCGAGAAGAUGUGUUUGACCUAUGGUGCCAGCCUUCAGUUUCUCAGAAGACAUAUGGGACCCAGAUAAAUCAGACAUUGAAUGCGCUGACGAGAGUCGCUGAGGACCCAAGAGAAAAGGCUUUUUUGGUUUGGAUUUCAUCUGUAUUUCACCACUUGAAAAUUCACUAUUGGCAUCGGGCAUGACCAACCCAGACAUCCUCUAAAGGAGGAGAUACAGAAGUUCUCUUCCCAGGCCCACUCAAAGGGUUCUGGCUCAGACCCUUUUUCCCCAUUCCUUAAGAGAGAAAAAAGACAUAUAUUUUCAAGGUAUAGACUCCCAUCAAGGCACACUGACCCUGAAAAAUGGCUGAGCUAAAAUAAAAGCUGUGUUUAUAACGCUGAAACGAAAU